rnacentral:rRNA from 1 species
UACCAGACUCCUACGGGAGGCAGCAGUGGGGAAUAUUGCACAAUGGGGGAAACCCUGAUGCAGCGACGCCGCGUGAGUGAAGAAGUAUCUCGGUACGUAAAGCUCUAUCAGCAGGGAAGAAAAUGACGGUACCUGAUUAAGAAGCCCCGGCUAACUACGUGCCAGCAGCCGCGGUAAUACGUAGGGGGCAAGCGUUAUCCGGAUUUACUGGGUGUAGAGGGAGCGUAGACGGUUAAGUAAGUCUGGAGUGAAAGGCCGGGGCCCAACCCCGGGACUGCUCUGGAAACUAUUCAACUUGAGUGCAGGAGAGGUAAGCGGAAUUCCUAGUGUAGCGGUGAAAUGCGUAGAUAUUAGGAGGAACACCAGUGGCGAAGGCGGCCUGCUGGACGAUGACUGACGUUGAGGCUCGAAAGCGUGGGGAGCAAACAGGAUUAGAUACCCGCGUA